AAAGCUUCCUCCCUCCUUCCUGCCCCUCAGGGCUCUGGCUGCUCUCUGCUCAGUCUCUGAAGGCCAGGAUGAGCUCCCCAUGGCAGCUGCUCUGGCUCCUGGUGCUCUGGGCUCAGGAUUCCCGAGGAGCCAUUGUGCUGACCCAGUCUCCAGCCUCCUUGUCUGCAUCUCCAGGAGAGACAGUCACCAUCAGCUGCAAGGCCAGUCAGAGUGUGUAUAGCAAUUUGCACUGGUACCAGCAGAAACCUGGCCAAGCCCCCAGACUCCUCAUCUCCUAUGCUAACAGCCUGGCAUCCGGGGUCCCUGCCCGGUUCAGUGGCAGUGGGUCUAGGAGUGAUUAUACCCUCACCAUCAGCAGCCUGGAGCCUGAGGACGCUGCACAUUAUUACUGUCAGCAGAGUGAUAGCUCCCCUCUCCCACAGUGCUUCAGGCCCGAACAAAAACCUCCCCAGUGCAUCCAGGGGACUCAGCUCAGAGCAGCAGGUGCCUCCUCGGGGUCCCCAGGGCAGAGCAGCCCCUGCUCUCUGGGCAGGCUCUCACCUCCCAGGGCUUCCUCUUUCUGGUCCCCCCUGGGUCCCUCCUUUCUAACUUGUGAUCACAAGCCCUGUCUGCUCAGCCAAGGCAGAGGGGAGGCAGCACAGCCCCUGGGAAACCGAGAGAAAGUCCCUAAGAGAAAUGCUGACAUUUCAGGUCCCCUUGAUAUCUUUGCCCCAAAGUAAUGAGUUUCUUUCUCUGGUUGGGAGCCCACGUUCCCGUUGAGCAGGUUUUGCCCCCAUUCUCUGUAGCAAUGACAGGUACAUCUUGCUUGUUCUUCAGCCACGUCUGAGUCUCUGUGACUCUACUCAGAAUUUUCUUGUCACAGACACUGGAGCUUUGCCAUUUCCUCCUCCAGCUUAUUUCAGACAAACAAAUGGAGGCAAACAGGAGUGAGUGACUUGUUCAGAGCCACAUGGAUAGUAAGUGUCCAAGGUUAGAUUAAACUCAGAAACGCGAGUCUUGGGGAUUCCAGGCCCAGCGCUCCAUCCUCUCACUGCCCCGUGGGGCUGCCAUGAUAGAGACCAGAUUGCUUUUUCUCCAGCCCAGGACACACGGUCUCCCAGGCUGGUUCCUUCUGCCCUGGGCCUGGAGACGAGAAAAUGGGAGGGUCCCAAUAUCACCCACUUCCCUCCAGUAGGUGUUUCAUCAUCUCUUGGGUCUGGAGGACCAGGCCCUCAUUGACUCUCUCAGGCUCAUGUGUGGGGAUUGGAGUGUAUUUCCCAUCAGGCCUUGGGAGAGUUCCCAGGAGAGCAGGGGGCAGGGCUGGGCCCCCUCACUGCCAUCUCUGCUGGGGUCUCUGCCUGGAUUCUCUGCCCCAAGGGAUCGCCUCAUUGUAUGAAGGCCCAAGGCCUGUCCACUGCCUUCAGGACCAAGGGCCCACACACGGUUUCACUGCCACUUGAGACUUUCUGGUCAGCCUUCCUCACUGGAAAGAAGAGGGGAUCAGCUCAGCUCUGAGACUCAGGUCAUUGAUGGCUUCAGUCCUCACAAUGUUCCCAGAUUCUCUCCUUUAGCCUCAUUAUCCCUAUCCCAGGAGUGAGCUUGCAAGAAGCACAAACAACUGCUAACAGUGGAUUUCUUUCAUUGAAAUUUCUUAUGUGUCAGAAUAUUCUCACAUGAAAUAAAGGUGUCAGAGUCGCA